rnacentral:rRNA from 1 species
GGGGGGGGGGGGGGGGGGGGGGGGGGGGGGGGGGGGGGGGGGGGGGGGGGGGGUGGGGGGGGGUGCGGGGGGGGGGAAGGGGUGGGUAACGCGUGAGUAACCGGCCCUUGACUUUGGGCUAACGUCAGGAAACGGGGGCUAAUACCGGAUAGGAGCUCCGGCGGCAUGGUGGGGGUGGGAAAGUUUCGGCGGUUGGGGAUGGACUCGCGGCUUAUCAGCUUGGUGGUGGGGUAGUGGCUUACCAAGGCUUUGACGGGUAGCCGGCCUGAGAGGGUGACCGGCCACAUUGGGACUGAGAUACGGCCCAGACUCCUACGGGAGGCAGCAGUGGGGAAUAUUGCACAAUGGGCGGAAGCCUGAUGCAGCAACGCCGCGUGCGGGAUGACGGCCUUCGGGUUGUAAACCGCUUUCGCCUGUGACGAAGCGUGAGUGACGGUAAUGGGUAAAGAAGCACCGGCUAACUACGUG